rnacentral:rRNA from 1 species
GCACGGGAGCAGCAAUGCUCUAGUGGCGCAAGGGUGAGUAAUGUAUCGCUAACGUACCCUGGACGCUGGGAUAGCUGCCCGAAAGGGCAGGUAAUACCAGAUGAAAUAUCCGGCCCGCAUGGGUUGGAUCUCAAAGGAGCAAUCCGGUCUGGGCGCGGGCGAUAUCGUAUCAGCUAGUUGGUGAGGUAACGGCUCACCAAGGCGACGACGCGUAGCCGGACUGAGAGGUCGGUCGGCCACAUCGGGACUGAGACACUGCCCGGACUCCUACGGGGGGCUGCAGUAACGAAUCUUCCCCAAUGGGCGCAAGCCUGAGGGAGCGACGCCGCGUGGAGGAUGAAGUCCUUCGGGAUGUAAACUCCUGUCAGGGGUUACCAAGUUCUGAGGAGCCCCAAAGGAAGAGGCGGCUAACUCUGUGCCAGCAGCCGCGGUAAGACAGAGGCCUCAAGCGUUAGGCGGAAUCACUGGGCUUAAAGCGUGUGUAGGCGGAUCGUUAAGUGCCUUGUGAAAUCCCACGGCUUAACUGUGGAACGGCUGGGCAUACUGGCGGUCUUGAGCCAUCUAGGGGCGACUGGAACAAACGGUGGAGCGGUGAAAUGCGUAGAUAUCGUUUGGAACGCCAAUGGUGAAAACAGGUCGCUGGGGAUGCGCUGACGCUGAGACACGAAAGCCAGGGGAGCAAACGGGAUUAGAUACCCCGGUAGUCCUGGCCCUAAACGAUGUCCACUAGAUCAUGGUUCCUCU